UACGUAGGGCGCGAGCGUUGUCCGGAAUUAUUGGGCGUAAAGAGCUCGUAGGCGGCUUGUCGCGUCGACUGUGAAAACUUGGGGCUCAACCCCAAGCUUGCAGUCGAUACGGGCAGGCUAGAGUUCGGUAGGGGAGACUGGAAUUCCUGGUGUAGCGGUGAAAUGCGCAGAUAUCAGGAGGAACACCGAUGGCGAAGGCAGGUCUCUGGGCCGAUACUGACGCUGAGGAGCGAAAGCGUGGGGAGCGAACAGG
rnacentral:rRNA from 1 species